CUCUUGUCAUGUAAACCGAAAGUGGCAAGUUAAAAUGGGUAUAAUUUUCAUUCAUUUUGAUUGAAAAGCUCGAACAAUGGAUCUACGAUUUUCCCCGUGUAUAUAGUUUUCUAUCAAUUAGUUUGUAGAGCGGAUUAUGUCAGUUAUUACCCACAUUAUAACUUUAGUCCUCGGCUUUCUGUGGGGGUUAGCCAUGUAUUACCUGUAUUGGCCAAAGAAACAACAAUGCGUUGGGGGUGACCAGGAAACUAAUAUUAUGGAAGCCGAUUCGGACAAUCUGUGCUCUAUUUGUUUUGAGAGGAAUAGAAACUUGGCCUUUCAGUGUGGACACACUUCAUGUGAUCAGUGUGCAAAAUUUUUAAAUUAUUGUCAUAUAUGUCGCUGUUCAAUUAGAGAAAGGUUAAGACUGUAUCUGUGACAAACUUUAUAAUUUAAUUAUUCCUUACA